UCCUAGCCUUCCUAUCCCUACUUUUCUUCUCUCCUUGCCUUCUUUAAUUCUUUUCCUAGACUCUUGUCUUAAAAUCGGAUUUGUCCUUACUAUUUUUGGACUUAUCCUAACAAGAGAAAGAAGAGACUAAUUGACAAUAGGGAGAGGAUGUUAGAAAGAAAGGAAGAAUUGGAAAUCUGAAUCAAUCCAAUCCCCCGACGCACCCCC
rnacentral:lncRNA from 1 species